ACACAACAUGCAAACUGAGAAUGAACUGUGUGUGCCGGCUUUGUGAACAAAAACGCAAGGCGGCUAUGAUACACUGUGUUGUGUGUGGAUAAGAAAUGCAGAGUGGUACCACCAAUUACCUAAGCCACCAUUCCCCUAACAGACAAAAGGCUCAUGGGGACAGUUCCUGCAGUUUACAGCAAAUUGUAGCCCUACAAACUUCAGAUACUGCCAAGCUUGGGUGCACUGGGCCGGUUAUCCAGUCGUGUGGAAUCAACAUCUCCAGCUGAACUUGGGCCGGGAAUUAUAUAAGAAUCCUUAGCAGCAUGAGUGCCAGCCAGUCAUUGCUGUUCUUUGCAUUGCUGAGGAGGACAGUCCUGCCAACAUAACAGUUUGUUCAAUAACAGGAGACAAACAGAAACACAGAGGUGCUAUACAUUCCGAUGGAAAAUACAACAAAUCUCCCAUCAUUUUGGCGUGGCUCAGAUCAGGAGGAGAAUUUUAAGAAAGGUGAUGGUUGGGCACACACAAGAAGACAUAGAUCACAUGUGUCCAGGCAUAUGAGUAGACAGGAGUUUCACACUCUGCCAAACUUACUUCAUCAGAGGAGCAGAAAGCUUCUCAAGAUCCCGCACUGCACACUUAGAUAUAGUCUUUGACUACAACAAGGGGAUGAAAGUACAGAGAGGUCCAAUUGAAAUCAAUUCUGUGCUGCGUCAUUUCUUCAUUCUGGAAGUCGAUGGACAUGAUUUAUCAUGGCAUCAGGUGUGCAGUUUGUCGACUAUCAGCAGUCUUGUUCACCAGUUGUGCAACUUGAGCUGGUAGCUUUAUUGCUUGAAGCCACAGCAUAAGAGGGGGAAGGUGCAGGCUCAUCAAAAAGUCUCAAAAGUUGAAACUAGGAAAAGAAGUUUGUCAAGAGUGUGAAUAUUUGCUUUGAAAACCAUCGUUACGAUGAUUUGGUUUCCUUUGAAACUUGAUACAUACUAUGUGUAUGUUGAAUGAAUUGAGAUGCUUAAAUAAAGAACCGCUAUUCAAAUAUCAGGAAACUGCAUUUUUCAUACUAAUGGGUAAAUGAUGUCGCCAUUUCCUGUAUGUAUUUAAAUGAGAUAUGUUUCCACAAUUAAUAUUUUUAGGGAAUUUUUCUCAUCCUAAUGAAUGAGAUUAAAUUGAACAGCGUUAUAUGAGCUUAAUAUGUGUUUUCUGUUUCUUUAAAAUUGGUGAAAAAUUGUCAGAAGAUAAUUAGACCAUUAUCCAUUACUGCAAUCAUACAAUCAAAUAUACAGGGACAAACCCACUGGGCAUAUAAUAUAAUUAAACCCUGUUCAGGGGCACGAGGCAAACAGAGUUUCUUUCAAACGUUAAAGCUGCACUCUCACAUUUUGGACGUUUUGACAACUUUUCUCAUUUUAUGUCUUGGAUUGGAACCAUCCAAUUUUUGCGAAAAAUUAAAUGGCAGAUUUUUCUAUUUAAGUUAAAACAUUGAUGUUUUAUGCACUUUUCUUAAACCGUUAGUAACAUUAAUUUUUGAACGGAAAUAUGAAAUCUGUGAUCUGAUCUUUUGUCAGCAAUCUUUUAUCAUUGGUUUGCAGAUAAUAACGCAAAAAAAUUGCUCAUUCAAAAACAAAAAAAGUUGUGAAAACGGUAUAUCUGUGGGAGUGCAGCUCUAAAUGUUUAAUUUCUUGAUUUUACUACUGUAUUAGAAAUUACAGGGGUUGGGGCAUAUUUUUAGUGUUUUUAUUGCUUUUUAUGAUUCAUACAGUCAUACUUUAUUCCUCAGGGCAUAACUUACAAAUAGACAAAACUGGAAAAUGGUCGUUUCAAAAGGCCAAAGAUAAUGCAAGUUGAACAAUCAUAUUGUUCAUGGCUUGUAUUUUUGGUAUAUUUUGUUGCAUAUGCUAUAGAAAAGUUGAAAGUUAAAAAUAAAUUCAUAGUUGAAAUGAUGGCUUUGAAUGGUAUUGUCAGAUGAGAAAAGGCACUUUUCCUUUUAGAGAAAUAGGUAUAAUGGUACUUUAUUUAUUUUGAUCAAUUUUAGAUAUUGUAUGAAAAUUAUUAUCUUAUUUAGUACAUGAGACCUUUUAAACAGUUAUUGACAAUAUAACAAUGUGUAUAUGAAGCUUUAGAUCAACACUUAAAGCUGCACUCUUACAGAUUGUCAGUUAAGACACAAAAUUGUCUCAAAAUCUGCUGAUUUGGUUAUCAUUCCUUUAAUUCAGUCAUAUUAGAUAAUUCACAAUAGAACCCAUCAGAAAUGUAAAAGUGCCGAAAAUUUCAUUUACAUUAAAUUGUUCGUAAUGCUUUUAGCCAUAAAACAUCAUUUUUAGCUCCACUGGCCGUCGUGAGUUCGUGCGUGCGUGCGUGCGUGCGUAAACUUUUACUUUAAACGACAUCUCCUCUGAUAAGCGGAUUUUGACAAAACUUCACAGGAAUGUUCCUUUGGUGGUCCUUUACCAAAAUUGCUCAAAUGGUUCCGGUCCAUUGCACAAUAUGGCCGCCAGAGCUAAAAAUAGCAAAAUCUUUAAACGACAUCUCCUCUGAAACGGUUCGGCAGAUUUUGAUGAAACUUGACAGUAAUGUUCCUUGGGUGGUCCUUUAUUAAAAUUGCUCAAAUGGUUCUGGUCCAUUGCACAAUAUGGCCGCCACAGCUAAAAAUAGCAAAAUUGAACCUUUUGGCCAGUGGAGCACAGGCACUGAUGUGCCUCUUGUUUUAACAUAAAUAUGAUAAACUGCUAUCUGAUCUUUUUUCAGCAUUCUUAUAUCACUUAAAAUUGGGUCUAGACAUUUAUGCAAAAAAAUUGUCCAUUUAUAGACAAACAAUAAAAGAGUACCGGUAGUCAAAACGAUCAAUCGGUGAGAUUGCAGCUUUAAAUACACCUUUUAAGACCGCUGUAAAAUUCCAAUGGUUUGCCUAAAUCUUUAAAGCUAGCAUACUGUUUAAUUAACAACCAUACUUAUUGUUUAAAAGUGUCAUGAUAUCUUUGUACAAUGUUUUUUAUAUAAUUCAUUAAAGAAGUCAAAACAAA